GGUUCGAUUAUGGCUCAGAUUGAACGCUGGCGGCAGGCCUAACACAUGCAAGUCGAGCGGAAACGAAGAGGUGCUUGCACCUCUGGCGUCGAGCGGCGGACGGGUGAGUAAUGCUUGGGAAUAUGCCUUAUGGUGGGGGACAACAGUUGGAAACGACUGCUAAUACCGCAUGAUGUCUACGGACCAAAGUGGGGGACCUUCAGGCCUCACGCCAUAAGAUUAGCCCAAGUGGGAUUAGCUAGUUGGUGAGGUAAUGGCUCACCAAGGCGACGAUCCCUAGCUGGUUUGAGAGGAUGAUCAGCCACACUGGGACUGAGACACGGCCCAGACUCCUACGGGAGGCAGCAGUGGGGAAUAUUGCACAAUGGGCGAAAGCCUGAUGCAGCCAUGCCGCGUGUGUGAAGAAGGCCUUCGGGUUGUAAAGCACUUUCAGUAAGGAGGAAAGGUUAAGUGUUAAUAGCAC
rnacentral:rRNA from 1 species